ensembl:lncRNA
UGGAGAGAAGCAGAGGGAAAAGCUCAGCAAGGUAGGGGCAAAUAGAGAGACUGUGGAAGAUGCAAUUUGCUGGCACAGAAACAAGGCAACAGGUCCGGGUCUGAAUCUCAUCCCUGAGUGACAGGAUAUGUUGUAUGGUGGCAGCAGAAGAGAUGUCUCAGGUUGGUGUUGGACUGCACCAACAUUCCUGAUGGGAACCCUCUCAGCUUGUAAUCACUGCAUGGAGAACUGUCCCUGCAGGACACAAGUUGGCUCCUCAGCAGCAGAUCCAUGUCCCACCCAAGCCUAUUACAUGGGGCCAGUGCCUGCAGGGAAGACAGGGCUUCAGCUCAGUGAUAUCCCCAGCCUGACAGGAAGGUGAUGAGCCUUGAGAGAUGCUUGAUGUGAAAGACAUGGCAGAAGAAAGGGACUUUGUCAACCUGGGGAGUCAUGGAGCAGCCAGGUGGAAGAGACUUUAAUCCAAACAACUCCACUCAGGAAAGCCAGGACCAGUGGAGUCUGGAUCUGCACAGCCCAUGUGGAGCCUGUAACAGCAAGGUGCUGGUUUGAGUCAAAAGGCAUCAGCCUGCAGGUUAUAAAGGCAUCUCUGCUGCUUGUAAGGGUGUCCUUCACAUGCCCUCCACCUCAUGUGGCUAAGGAUGGGUUCCUGCCUACCCCAUGGAUAUCACCACCAUUUGCUUGCUUUUUAACACAUCUAACAACACCAAAUGCAGAGGAGAAGCUCCUCUCCCUAUGAAAUUCACCCCAGAAAAUCCUGAGUAGUAAAGCAGAGCAACUUGUGGACCAACACUUUUCCUCUGGGUCUUAAACCAUCACAUAUAUUUAUUUUUUUUCCUUGACUGAAUAUGUGCUGAUCUCAUUCAUCCUGAGAAAAGCACGGGGUGUUCUCAUCCCGGCUAUACCUGGCAAGCUGCACACACUGUGACAGAGGGAGCGAACUUCUGAUCCGGCUCUGCAGUGGCUGCUGCCCAGUUUCUUGUGGCUCUUUCCUGGAGCGAGAGGCCGGCUUCUUCACCUGGCAUUCCUGGGAGAGAUGAAGGGUAAGUCAGCAAAUCAGCUUCCUGCACUGCAGACAUCCUCUGCUUUCAGCCAUAGCAGAAUUAGCUAAGGUCGGGAUUUGCUGGUAGCUGGGCAGAAAAAACAUCAACGGGGCUUUUUCCCCCCCUCUCCACCUCCUUUGGAGGGAAAAGGCAAGAAAAUGUUUUUAACGUGCUGCGUGCAGGCAGGUUGUGGGAGCCGUGGUCCCCGGCAUAGCUCAGCAAGCACUGCCGGGGAAAUCAACAGGGAACGUUCCUGAUGCUAUUUUAGACACCGGCAGAAAACGCCAGAUAGCAACACCGAGUUCGACGGGGCUGCACGAACCCGGAGCGGCGGCGGCGGCACGGAACGCAAGGACCCGCUCCCGCCGAUGUGUGGGUUGUCAGUCGAUUUGUUGAUGAGCUUGCUAACCACGACGUUGCUUUGACAUGUCAGCUGGCGAGCCGGCGUCUGGAUGCCUCGGUGUCAUGCAGGCAGCUCCGUCUGAGCCCUGCGGAGAGCAGCUUAGAUCCGCUGGCCGGGGUUAAAAAUGAGCCGCAGUUAAGCUGCUGAAAGGGAUCCGCGCUGCCACCAACGUGAGUGCUCCGCGCCUGCCCGCGCAGGUGGAAGUUGCAUGCCGAUCUCCAAGGGGGGAUGCAGCUCUGGCCGGGGGACUGCCGGCUCCAUCGGGAGCGUCCUGGCUUGCUUGCCUGGGAGAGGAUGGAAAGAGGGCAUCUUAAGGGAUUGCUGCAGCCAGCGGUGCCGCUGAAGGCAGAGUGUGAGAUUAAAGGCGGUAUCUGAGCAUAAGGAUACCGCAACCUAAUUUAGGAAUAAUGAAUAUAGCAGGGCUGGCUGCUGUAGGUAAUGUCCCCUUUGUAAAUCGGGCUGUAUGGAGCAAAAAGGAGCAAUUAUGCGGAUUCUGCUGCAGCUCAUUAUGGUCGGGUUAAUUUGGGAAAAAAGAUGCUUGCUGGCAGCUAAAGGAGGCAGCCUGGCAGAGGGGUUAAAAAGCACAAUUACCAGACCAGGCUGCUGUUUUGAAAUGGUACAAUAAUCCCAAGGCAGGGGAACAUUGUUAUAUGAUUUCUCUUCUGAGAUAGUCACGAGCAGGAAUACUUUAUCUUAGAGGGCUACUCUAAAUAAAUAAAAAAAAUAAAUAAAUAAAAAUAAAAAA